AAGUCGUAACAAGGUCUCCGUAGGUGAACCUGCGGAGGGAUCAUUACCGAGUGGAGGGCGCUCCGGCGCCCGACCUCCCAACCCUUUGAUUUGAUCAAGACCUCCUUCUGCCUCGGGGGCGAACCCGGCCUUCGGGCGGCGGUCCCCCCCGGCGGUACCCAACCUCAAACCCUGCAUCAAUUGUCGUCUGAGCAUUGAAGCGAAUUCAAUCAAAACUUUUCAACAACGGAUCUCUUGGUUCUGGCAUCGAUGAAGAACGCAGCGAAAUGCGAUAAGUAAUGUGAAUUGCAGAAUUCAGUGAAUCAUCGAAUCUUUGAACGCACAUUGCGCCCUUUGGCAUUCCGAAGGGCAUGCCUGUUCGAGCGUCAUUACACCAAUCAAGCCUGGCUUGGUAUUGGGCGACGGGGCCGUCACACGCCCCGCGCCCCAAUGACCCCCGGCGGGACGGACCGAAUCUCAGCGUUGUGAAUCCAAAGCCGCUGGCGAGACGGGACGGCCGUGCCGUUAAACAACCCCCAUCACAAGGUUGACCUCGGAUCAGGUAGGGAUACCCGCUGAACUUAAA
rnacentral:rRNA from 1 species